rnacentral:rRNA from 1 species
UACGUAGGAGGCAAGCGUUAUCCGGAAUGACUGGGCGUAAAGGGUGCGUAGGUGGUUUGGCAAGUUGGUAGCGUAAUCCCGGGGCUCAACCUCGGUGCUACUACCAAAACUGCUGGGCUUGAGUGCAGGAGGGGUGAAUGGAAUUCCCAGUGUAGCGGUGGAAUGCGUAGAUAUUGGGAAGAACACCAGCGGCGAAGGCGAUUCACUGGACUGUAACUGACACUGAGGCACGAAAGCGUGGGGAGCAAACAGG